rnacentral:rRNA from 1 species
AUGAGAACAAGUCUCUACGCCGACGAUGCCGUGAUCUUCGUCAACCCCGUCCGGCGGGAGGUAGAUAGACUGCUGCAAAUUCUAGCUAGUUUUGGCGAUGCCACCGGCCUGCGCGUCAACCUCGCCAAAUCCUCUGCGGUGCCCAUUAGUUGCUCCGAUAUCGACCUGAAUCAUGUUCUGCAGGGUUUUGGAGGUGCAACAGCUUCUCUUCCAAUCAAGUACCUGGGGCUCCCCCUAACGACCGGUAGAACUAGGCUAGUCCACCUGCAGUUCAUCCUCGACAGGAUCAGGGCCAGGCUUGCGGGAUGGAAGGGCCGUCUUCUUCCGCUGGCGGGGCGCGGAGUCCUCGUGAGAUGCGUUCUCUCAGCCAUGCCAACAUUUGCCCUAACAGUGCUGCGUGCUCCAAAGAAGUUCUUCAAGGAGAUCGACAAAGUCAGGCGACGCUUCUUGUGGGCGCAUGACAAGGAGAUCAGCGGCGGCAAGUGCAAGGUUGCAUGGAGGAUGGUGACCACGCCGGAGGCCAGGGGAGGACUAUGCAUCCAUGAUCUCUCAGCCUUCGCCCGAGCACUGCGCCUCCGUUGGUUUUGGCUCAGCUGGGCCGACCCAUCCAGGCCCUAG